GACGAACGCUGGCGGCGUGCCUAAUACAUGCAAGUCGAGCGAAGUUUUUCUGGUGCUUGCACCGGAAAAACUUAGCGGCGAACGGGUGAGUAACACGUAAAGAACCUGCCUCAUAGACUGGGACAACUAUUGGAAACGAUAGCUAAUACCGGAUAAUAGCAUUAACUGCAUGGUUGAAGUUUAAAAGUUGGUUUUGCUAACACUAUGAGAUGGCUUUGCGGUGCAUUAGCUAGUUGGUGGGGUAAAGGCCUACCAAGGCGACGAUGCAUAGCCGACCUGAGAGGGUGAUCGGCCACACUGGGACUGAGACACGGCCCAGACUCCUACGGGAGGCAGCAGUAGGGAAUCUUCCGCAAUGGGCGAAAGCCUGACGGAGCAACGCCGCGUGAGUGAAGAAGGAUUUCGGUUCGUAAAGCUCUGUUGUUAGGGAAGAAUGAUUGUGUAGUAACUAUACACAGUAGAGACGGUACCUAACCAGAAAGCCACGGCUAACUACGUG
rnacentral:rRNA from 1 species